AAUCCAUAGGUUAAUGAGGCGAACCGGGGGAACUGAAACAUCUAAGUACCCCGAGGAAAAGAAAUCAACCGAGAUUCCCCCAGUAGCGGCGAGCGAACGGGGAGGAGCCCAGAGCCUGAAUCAGCAUGUGUGUUAGUGGAAGCGUCUGGAAAGGCGCGCGAUACAGGGUGACAGCCCCGUACACAAAAGCGCAUGUGCUGUGAGCUCGAUGAGUAGGGCGGGACACGUGGUAUCCUGUCUGAAUAUGGGGGGACCAUCCUCCAAGGCUAAAUACUCCUGACUGACCGAUAGUGAACCAGUACCGUGAGGGAAAGGCGAAAAGAACCCCGGCGAGGGGAGUGAAAAAGAACCUGAAACCGUGUACGUACAAGCAGUGGGAGCACCCUUUGGGGUGUGACUGCGUACCUUUUGUAUAAUGGGUCAGCGACUUAUAUUCUGUAGCAAGGUUAACCGAAUAGGGGAGCCGGAGGGAAACCGAGUCUUAAUUGGGCGUUAA
rnacentral:rRNA from 1 species